rnacentral:tRNA from 1 species
UCGGAUAUGGUGUAACGGCUAACAUUGCCGCCUCUCAUCUCAUAUUCAGUGCAUCGCGGCAGCUCGGGGUUCGAUUCCCCGUAUCCGAA